GAUGAACGCUGGCGGCGUGCCUAAUACAUGCAAGUCGAGCGAACAGACGAGGAGCUUGCUCCUCUGAUGUUAGCGGCGGACGGGUGAGUAACACGUGGAUAACCUACCUAUAAGACUGGGAUAACUUCGGGAAACCGGAGCUAAUACCGGAUAACAUGUUGAACCGCAUGGUUCAACAGUGAAAGACGGUCUUGCUGUCACUUAUAGAUGGAUCCGCGCCGCAUUAGCUAGUUGGUAAGGUAACGGCUUACCAAGGCAACGAUGCGUAGCCGACCUGAGAGGGUGAUCGGCCACACUGGAACUGAGACACGGUCCAGACUCCUACGGGAGGCAGCAGUAGGGAAUCUUCCGCAAUGGGCGAAAGCCUGACGGAGCAACGCCGCGUGAGUGAAGAAGGUCUUCGGAUCGUAAAACUCUGUUAUUAGGGAAGAACAAAUGUGUAAGUAACUAUUCACGUCUUGACGGUACCUAAUCAGAAAGCCACGGCUAACUACGUG
rnacentral:rRNA from 1 species